rnacentral:rRNA from 1 species
GUGUCAGCAGCCGCGGUAAUACGUAGGGUGCGAGCGUUGUCCGGAAUUAUUGGGCGUAAAGGGCUCGUAGGCGGUUUGUCGCGUCAGGAGUGAAAACUCGGGGCUUAACUCCGAGCCUGCUUCUGAUACGGGCAGACUAGAGGUAUGCAGGGGAGAACGGAAUUCCUGGUGUAGCGGUGAAAUGCGCAGAUAUCAGGAGGAACACCGGUGGCGAAGGCGGUUCUCUGGGCAUUACCUGACGCUGAGGAGCGAAAGUGUGGGGAGCGAACAGGAUUAGAUACCCCCGUAGUCC